UUUUUUUAGUGAAUUCUUUUUUUUUUUGGUGUUUGUGGGGGGAACUUCAUCAUCAACAAUUCCGUAUCUCCAGCACAUCGUGAACAUUAAUCUAAUCCCAUUUCAUAAGCACGAAUGCAAACAUAGCCGCUUAAGUAUCACAAGCUCCGAGAUUAUCUCCUGUGUGGUCUGUACUCGAGGCCACAGAUCAGACUGUUGAGCCUGUGAAAUUUGUUUCUAGGGUACAGUUUCUAGGACACAGCAGAUGGGCCAUGCCUGCAUGUUCUCAUGUUCAUGGUCCUGAACUCGACGUUUUACAGGUCAAACCAUUUCAUCACCACACUGUUCCCCAAGCACACAUUACACAAAACAAUGGUCGAUAAGAACAUAUAUACGGGGACAAAAGAUCCAGAAUUAUUACGA
rnacentral:lncRNA from 1 species